rnacentral:rRNA from 1 species
UACGGAGGGUGCGAGCGUUAAUCGGAAUUACUGGGCGUAAAGCGCGCGCAGGCGGUUUUGUAAGUCAGAUGUGAAAUCCCCGGGCUCAACCUGGGAACUGCAUCUGAGACUGGCAAGCUAGAGUACCGUAGAGGGGGGUAGAAUUCCAGGUGUAGCGGUGAAAUGCGUAGAGAUCUGGAGGAAUACCGGUGGCGAAGGCGGCCCCCUGGACGAAGACUGACGCUCAUGUGCGAAAGCGUGGGGAGCAAACAGG